CCUACGGGAGGCAGCAGUGGGGAAUAUUGCACAAUGGGCGCAAGCCUGAUGCAGCAACGCCGCGUGAGGGACGACGGCCUUCGGGUUGUAAACCUCUUUUAGUAGGGAAGAAGCGAAAGUGACGGUACCUGCAGAAAAAGCACCGGCUAACUACGUGCCAGCAGCCGCGGUAAUACGUAGGGUGCAAGCGUUAUCCGGAAUUAUUGGGCGUAAAGAGCUCGUAGGCGGUUUGUCGCGUCUGCUGUGAAAACUGGAGGCUCAACCUCCAGCCUGCAGUGGGUACGGGCAAACUAGAGUGCGGUAGGGGAGAUUGGAAUUCCUGGUGUAGCGGUGGAAUGCGCAGAUAUCAGGAGGAACACCGAUGGCGAAGGCAGAUCUCUGGGCCGUAACUGACGCUGAGGAGCGAAAGCAUGGGGAGCGAACAGGAUUAGAUACCCUGGUAGUCCAUGCCGUAAACGUUGGGCGCUAGAUGUGGGGACCAUUCCACGGUUUCCGUGUCGCAGCUAACGCAUUAAGCGCCCCGCCUGGGGAUACGGCCGCAAGGCUAAAACUUAAUGAAUUGACGG
rnacentral:rRNA from 1 species